rnacentral:lncRNA from 1 species
CUCAAACCUAUCAAAGCCAUUCAUUAGUAGUGGUGGGGAGGAGGAGGUGAAGUGUAUAAGUAAUGAUGAGGUGGCGGUGGUGGCGGUGGGGAUUUGUAUUUGUAAGGGUGAUGUGGUGGUGGGUAGUGCGGUGGUGGUGGUGGUGGUGGGGAUUUGUAUUUGUAAGGGUGAUGCGGCGGUGGGUAGUGCACUGGUGGUGGUGGUGGUGGUGGUGAUGGUGGUGGUGGCGGUGGCGGUGGGGAUUUGUAUUUGUAAGGGUGAUGUGGUGGUGGGUAGUGCGGUGGUGGGUAGUGCACUGGUGGUGGUGGUGGUGGCGGUGGGGAUUUGUAUUUGUAAGGGUGAUGUGGUGGUGGGUAGUGCACUGGUGGUGGUGGUGUUUGUGGUGGUUGCUGUGGUUUUUUGUAUUUGUAAUUUAUUCGUGGUGGGUUGGUGAUUUGCGGUGGUGUGGUAGUUCACUUGUGGUGGUGCGGCGGCGGCGGGGACUUGUAUUUGUAAGGGUGAUGUGGUGGUGAGUAGUGCACGGGAGGCGGUGGUGGCGGGGGCGUGGACUUGUACUUGUAAGGUGUGCGUGGUGAGUAGUGCAUGGGUUGGCGGCGGCGGGGACCUUGUAUUUGUAAGGGUGAUGUGGUGUUAGUAGUGCACGGGUGGUGGCGGCGGCGCCGGCGGGGACUUGUAUUUGUAAGGGUGAUG